CAGCAGUCGCCGCGGGAAUACGUAGGGUGCAAGCGUUAAUCGGAAUUACUGGGCGUAAAGCGUGCGCAGGCGGUGUUGUAAGACUGAUGUGAAAUCCCCGGGCUCAACCUGGGAACUGCAUUGGUGACUGCAACGCUGGAGUGCGGCAGAGGGGGAUGGAAUUCCGCGUGUAGCAGUGAAAUGCGUAGAUAUGCGGAGGAACACCGAUGGCGAAGGCAAUCCCCUGGGCCUGCACUGACGCUCAUGCACGAAAGCGUGGGGAGCAAACAGGAUUAGAUACCCCCGUAGUCCCUGUCUCUUAUAC
rnacentral:rRNA from 1 species